UCCACGCCGAACCACCCUCGCAGGUGGGGU
rnacentral:sRNA from 1 species